rnacentral:tRNA from 1 species
AGGACAGUCGUCUAGCGGCUAUGACGCGGACCUUAAGAAUCCGUAUUUCGUGGGUUCGAGUCCCACCUGUCCUA